GCCCACCCUACGGCGCCCGGGGUUCGCGGCCCCGCGGCGGAGCGCGGAACUGCCCUGGGCGCUUUCCCGGGCUUGGCACGGAGGAUCCCGGCGGGGAUCUCAGGGCUCGCGCGGGCGAUGCGCAACGAAGAAAGACGCGGAGCUGUGUUCGUGCUGGGUGCCGUCGGAGGGCCAGGAGGCGGGGUGCGCUCGCCACCCCCCACCCCCCAGGUCGGGGUGGGGAUGCUGGCAAUUGGGAACCCCCGCGGCGAGGUCCCAUCAUCUCCGCGGGGCCUGAGCGCAGAGCCCGGGGCUGACGGCGCUUUGGCCUUGGAUGGAAAGUGGCGAAGGGCCCCGGACCCCUAACGUGGAUUACUUGGUGUGUGUCAGCCGGGCUCAGAAGACCCACGACCUCGUCUCCAUGCUUGGAUCGAUUCAUUCUACCUGUAGCGGUCGGGUCGCUUCCCUGGAGGUGAAAUCAGAGCUUUGAGGCUGACCUGGGGAGGUGCUCCGAGCCAAGAAAAGAAGGACAAGAAAGAAGCUGUCUUCUGUUGACACAGACGCGCCACCAGCUGUGAAGACCCCUUCUCUCAGAUGGCGGUUGGGGCCCAUGCCAGCGCCUGGUGC